GGGAACAUUUACUACAAUGUUAUUAGCUGCUGAGCUUGCCUUUGGAGUGCUACAGUGAAUUCAAAUGGAGAUAUCCUUUCAAACAUCCUGCAGGAAGGAACACUUCUACAGCCUUGUGACCAGAACUGCAUGGCACCAAGGCAAAGAAAGAGCAGGGGGUGGCAGACUGUUUCCUCUGGCUGCUAACAAGCCAGACCUGCCACUCCAGUCGUCUCCUAUAGUUAUGUAUAUUUUCAAUAUAUACAAACGAUGUGGUCACAAGUGACAAAAGAACAAAGGAAAAUCUUUAUGGUGAAAAGAACAAUGUCACGAUGGAGAUCCAACUCAGAGUGAAAGAGACUGUGACACCAAUUGCCUUUAAAUGACUUGGGAGAGAAAAACACACCCUUGGAGCUUCAUGGCUGCUCAUAUGGAUUAUUCUGAAGAUUACAGGCUGCUGUGAUUGUCUACCAGAAACAAAAGUGUGUCUUUGAAGAGUGAAAGGCUUGGCUGACAUCUGCAGAGCCCACUAAGCUAUGUAACUUUGCAAGUCCUUCAGUGUUUUGCAGUGUUUUCUAUUAUCUCCACUUCUUAUCUCUUGUACUGAAGUAUUUCAAAUAUCUCUUGUGCUUCUGUUGCAAAGUAAUACCCUAUGUUAAGUGGGUAGGGGAUAACUACUCCAGGACAGGGAAGCAGUAACCUAAUCCUUACCUGUGAUGGGAGCAGAAGCAGAAAUUCCUGCUUACCAUUCCCCUUUGUCCUUGUUGUUACUUCAACUUUCUGCUCUUGCAAUAAGAUGCACCCCAGGUCAUGGUCUGACUGCCUUCCUCCCAGUUUCCAUUUCUCUUGGUGGCAUCAACAGAGGAGGAUAUGUUGGGGUUAGCAGGGAGAACAGAGAUUUCUCCCAAGGAGAGAUGGUGGGUUUAAUGGCUAAUGGAUUGGGACAUUAAAUGUGUCAGUGGGAGGAGGCAUAAGUGCCCAUGGAGAGAGGACGGAGGAGGUGACCUAGAGCUUGGAAACACCUAGGAAAGUAAGAGAAAGGACCUUAUUCUCAUCCAGAUUCUAUUUUUCUAUUUUACUUCUAGAAAGUUCUGAAAUAGUACUGCCCCUUCCCAUUUGCCCAUGCCAUCCCUACAGCUUCCUUCAUAUGGACAUAUUCCCUUGCUCGUUUUUCCUAAAGCCUUAUCUACCAUGUCCACAUAACCUUUGUCACACAGGUAUGCUGACUGCAGUGCUGAGGUCUGGUUCUGUCUAUGUGGCUAAGGGGUAUGAAGCAGGGUGGGGAAUUGUCCCAUCAAUCCUGAUGGAACAGCAGAAGGUAACCAGCUGUCUGGUGUGAAGUUGUUACAGGCGGAGAGAUUAUUAACAACUUCCAUCAAGAUAAUAACAUCAUUGCAAAUUAAUUCCACUAGAGAUAACAAGAUCGACGUACUUGCAAUGGUCUACGAGGAUAUCAGAUCUUGCAGCAUUUCCUUGUCAGGCCCACGCAGUGCUGUUCCCCUUAAUGAUGUGCUCAUGAAGGGGAUCUCUGCAUCUCUUCACAUUUCAGAUCACCACACCCCCUGGACUUACACUGAAGCCUUCUCAAGGGAGUUAUCAAUACAGCACAAUACUCCUCCAGCUCUGAAACGGCCUGAUGGAGAAUAGGGGGAAAUGGCUAAGAUUACAUCAUGGCUCCAAGCUAUCUGAAUCCCACAAAUCUGGAAAGCAAAUGUUGAUCUCAGGAAAACAUUCAUGUCAACCAUUGUUAAGUGAAAGCCUGGGAGAAAAACGAACAAAUACAAUGCAUUUCUUUCUAA